CUGGGUUUGACAUGCACUGGACCGGCGUAGAGAUACGCCUUCCCUUGUGGCUGGUGCACAGGUGGUGCAUGGCUGUCGUCAGCUCGUGUCGUGAGAUGUUGGGUUAAGUCCCGCAACGAGCGCAACCCUCGUUCUAUGUUGCCAGCGGAUUAUGCCGGGGACUCAUAGGAGACUGCCGGGGUCAACUCGGAGGAAGGUGGGGACGACGUCAAAUCAUCAUGCCCCUUAUGUCUUGGGCUUCACGCAUGCUACAAUGGCCGGUACAAUGGGUUGCGAUACUGUGAGGUGGAGCUAAUCCCAAAAAGCCGGUCUCAGUUCGGAUUGGGGUCUGCAACUCGACCCCAUGAAGUCGGAGUCGCUAGUAAUCGCAGAUCAGCAACGCUGCGGUGAAUA
rnacentral:rRNA from 1 species